rnacentral:rRNA from 1 species
AGUGAACGCUGGCGGUAGGCCUAACACAUGCAAGUCGAACGGCCGCACAGUAAGAGCUUGCUCUUACGGGUGGCGAGUGGCGGACGGGUGAGGAAUACAUCGGAAUCUACUUUUUCGUGGGGGAUAACGUAGGGAAACUUACGCUAAUACCGCAUACGACCUACGGGUGAAAGCAGUGGUUCUUCGGACCUUGCGCGAUUGAAUGAGCCGAUGUCGGAUUAGCUAGUUGGCGGGGUAAAGGCCCACCAAGGCGACGAUCCGUAGCUGGUCUGAGAGGAUGAUCAGCCACACUGGAACUGAGACACGGUCCAGACUCCUACGGGAGGCAGCAGUGGGGAAUAUUGGACAAUGGGCGGAAGCCUGAUCCAGCCAUAGCGCGUGGGUGAAGAAGGCCUUCGGGUUGGAAAGCCCUUUUGUUGGGAAAGAAAAGCAGCAGGUUAAUACCCCGCUGUUCUGACGGUACCCAAAGAAUAAGCACCGGCUAACUUCGUG